GGUGGGGUCGCAUAGUGGUUUAGUGCACCGGUCUUGAAAACCGGAAUGGGUGAAAGCCCGUCGCGAGUUCGAAUCUCGCCCCCACCGCCA
rnacentral:tRNA from 1 species